GCUGUGUGAUGAGAGUAGAGUAGGGUCAGCAGCAAGGGACAUCAGGAGGAUAUUGUGGCAUCUUCAAAGUUUACAAAGGGCAGUGACAGCAGCAACAGUUGUGGCGAUGCUGGUUCGAGCCUCAGCUGGGUCAGUUGGUGUUUCUGUGUGCAAGAUGCAAGAACAGGAUGGAUGAAAAAGCAAACUAACCCUGUCAUGGGUAAAAAAAGACAACCUGCUAGGCACCAUACAAGUUGCAUUGAUUGGGAGUCUGCAUAAUGUUGAUCAAAAAUGUGGAUGUCAAAGAUGGACUUGUCAAUGGAUGCUUUGGAAACAUUGUGACCAAAACAAAAUACAGACUUGCAUUUGUGCACAUGCUUGGAAAUCAGUCGACAAUCCAAAUGCUGGCCAGAAAUACAUACGACAACAACUGCAAGGUGAAGAGGACACUUUACAUCAAAAGAUCAGAGGAAACUCUUAAAAAAGAAGCAGUCUGUCAACUAUUUCCAAUCAAGAUGGCUUACGCAUGCACCACUCACAAAGUUCAAGGCAUGACCAUGCAAUCGGCUGUCAAAAAUCACAACCACGUUGGAGAGGACAAAAAAUGGCAACGCUGGAAGGCAUCAUGCUACUUUUUCACUGGAAAAAAACCAACA
rnacentral:lncRNA from 1 species